UCAAAGUUUAGUGCAAAGGAGAUCCACAUAAAAAUCAGAAACAUGACCCAAAGAUAUAGAGAAGAAAAGAAAAAGGUAGGACCAUCUGGUGGGAGUCCCUCGCUGUGGAAACAUUUUGACGCAGUCCACCAAAUCAUCGGUUUCAACACACAAACAACGCUGAGAUUUUAGAAUCUUUUUCAACGGAUAUAUUGACAUCAGGACCGCAGCCGGUGCCAUCACCAUCGAGUUUAGCGUCCCCAUCCCCAGUGCCUCAGUCGUAUCCAUACGCUGCUGCUGCACCGUCAUCAACCGCAGCACCACCAUCCUCGCCACCCGCUGUACCUUCACCGUCACCAUCGCCUCAAACUUCGUCACCGCUUUCGUCGCCGGUGGUGUUGUCCAUUUCUUCGCCACUUGACACUUCGAACAUAUCUUCGACUGCAGCUUCCACAUCCUCUAAAAGGAAAAGAAAUUAUAUGGGUGAGGUGGUGCAACUAGCUAAAGAGCAAAACGAGCUGUUAAAAGUGGUCAUAGACGACGAAAAGUUUUAACAGCAGAAUGCGUUAAUGCUAUUUAAGAGCAAAGUAGUGCUACAAAAGAAUUCAUUAGUUUAAUGAAAAGCGUUUUGCAAAAAAUAUAACUUUAAGUAGUAUACAUAUGUGUGUUUAAACACUCAUGAACAAAAAAAGAUGGGUGUGCGGCAUUUUGAUAAAUUUUGUUUGAAUUUGGCUUUAGUUUAUUUAAUGUUUAUUAACAUUUUAUAUAAUUCUAGCGUAUUAUAUAACAAAGAGCAUAUGUAAAAUUCCACAUUUCAAAGUUUCGAAUUCAUAAAAACUGUUUUAGUAAU